AAGAAGGUACCGUUUGUACGCAAUCACCUUUUCUGUGACUACCCCUCGCUAUACCGGGACAUUAAAUACCAAAAUAAAGGCAACCACAGCUCAGUCCAGAGCCAUAGAGCACGGAGAUUGGGUGUUAGGCCCAGAUCCUCAAAGAUAUGGAGAUGCCUAGCUCUCAUUGAUUUUAGUGGGAGUUAAGUGCCUUUGAGGAGCUGGGGCCUGCAUCCUGCAGUACUGCCUGCUCUCAGUUUCUAAUUUGUCUGAUGUUAUCCAUACGGGCAUUUGGUUCCUCCCAGCUGUGAGUGAGGACAACCUGCGCCUCUGUGCUCUGCGCCUUGAAGGUUCACCGUAUUUGCCUCUAUUAAUUGUUUUUCCACCAGCAGUCAGUGGCUUUUCGAAGCCAGCCAGCCUUUCAUGGAAGGAAUCCGUUCUUUUUACUAUCAUCUCCUUCAGCUCUUCCAGCUGACAUCUGAGCAGAAUCCCCCCGGGAAAGGAAUGAGCCCUGUGUUUGUUUAAUAAUACUGAGCCUUUACAUAGCAUUCAGAGCACCUCCUGGAAAUGUUCUAGCUAAUCCUCACAGCACCUCUGUGUGAGACAGGUGGCUGAUCCCCAUUUCCUAAGUGGCUACACUGAGCUCGGAAGGUGAAGUGACUUGCCCAGGCCCGUCCAGUGCAUAAAUUGUGGAGCUAGGAUUAGCACUCGGGACCGCCUGCUUCCUACCCAUGGGCUUGGUCCCCUCAGACCACGCUGCUUUCCUGCAAGCAUUGGGAUGUGUCUACUCAAACGUCCUUCCAGGCAGGACGCUCACCUUUCAGCCUGGCUAGGGCGUUGGAAAGCUUGGGGACAUGAAGCCAAUGGGGGGACAGCAGGAAUGAAUUUCGCCUAUUUUUCUAUGGGAUUUUGUUUGCGAUUUUCCUUGCCUCACAAGAAGCUCCCUGUGUUGAAGUGGGGAUUUUCCCUUGUUUUGUGGUAUGUAAGCCUAUGUGAGUCUUACCGUUUUGCAUGAAGGCGGUGUGUGCCUCAGUUUCCCUAUGUGUUGCACCAAUAUCUAGGUGGUGGGAAUAAGCGUGUGUGAUUUUUGCGGGGCCUGCUCCAGCUGCCUGCACAUAUGCUAUGGCCGCCCCUUCGUAACCUGAGACCCAGGAGGGGAUGCGACCAGGUGACCCUUGGCCUGGGAAGCGAGACAAAGGCCGGAGGAGGAGCAACGGGCAGGACAGGGGCCAGGCAGCAUGAAGCGGAGUCAGUCUCGGCUGGCUUGGGGUGCAGGGGGAGGGCCAGAGCCCUGGCUCCCCUCCCCCCAAGAUGGACUUGGCUGAAAGUCACUGAUUUCUGUGCUAACGUUCUGUUCUACGCUGUGUUCCUGUCGACUAACAAACCUUCUGUUUUACCGGCUGGCUGAGAGUCACGUCUGACUGCGGAGUUGGGGUGCAGGGCCCUCUGGCUUCCCCAGGAGCCCUGCCUGGGCGGUCUCACUGUGGGAAGCACGCGGUGUGGAAGGGGCAGCUGAAUGCUCCGAGGUCAGACCCAGGAAGGUGGAAGCUGUGUAAGCUUCUUGCCCGGGAGACAGUCUGCUCAGAGAGAGGAGGCUCCCGCAGAGUCCUGGCUGGCCUCAUAUGGAGUAGUUCCAGAGCAUCGCUCCGGUGACUCCGUGACACUCCCCUGGCUCUGGUAUGUCAGCCUUGAACCAAACUAUGGCUAUUUCCACCACCAGCUCCCCGGAUACCCCUGCAGUUAAUAUUUGAUUGCUCAUUUCCUGUGUUCUAUAUCCCAGGACAGCCUGAAUUCCCCAGCGGGCUGCCAUCGGCUACUGGUCUUUAACAAAACGCCCUCUCCAGCAUGCUGUCAUUUGCCACUGACCCAGGUGCAAAAUGCCCUCCCUCCACCCAAAAAUCAACCAGCGAAGGAUGCAUGUUUCCAGUGAGCAGGGCUGUCACGUAGGACCAGUGUGUCCCCUGGAAAAUGGCAUUUGGUAAUGAGGAAACCAAUGAAGAAUCUGACAUCGGAGUUGGCUUCAGAAUACAGCCCAAGCAGCAACCAGGGUCGCCAUGGCGAAUGAUCCCUCUCGUGUGUUUGAGAAACACAUUCUGGGAGGGGCUCUGCGUGAAUGCAAGGCAGCUGCUACCCCGCCAGAGAGCCAACCUCACUGAAACUCUCAGAUGGCUGCAGUGUUCUCCAGGGCAAGAAGGGAGCUCUCAGCUUCUCACAAGGACCCUAUUCUCACCUGGGUAAGAGGUGAUGUUACACUAUGCCAGUAGAGAUGCCAGGCCGGAAUUGUAAUAGAACACAGUGCAAAGGGAUUUGGCCUUAUUUACAGUAAAGGCUACAAGGGUCUGACUCCUUAUUCAAACAGCUCUCGCAAAAUAAAACCUGGUUUCCUUUAGGACUAAAUUACUUUUGUCCCUUCUGGGAAUGUUGUGUUGCUGGAGAAUUAAAUGAGGUUUUGAUAAAAUCUUUAAGGUGAGGCAAAUUAUUCAUUCGCCUAGACACUGCCAUGUAGAGAUAGUUCUCGUCUCUCCCUGCAGUAAGAUACCAAACCUAAUGCAGCCAUGCCUCAUCUCUGCAUGUUCCCAGAUGCUGCUGUAACACCCCAGGGCCAGAUCCUCAACUGGUGUAAAUUGGCGUAGCUUCUCGGUUGAUAAGCCAGUUUACACUAGCUGAGGAGCUGGCCUGAGAUGUUAAGUUAUGCUGUAGUAGAUCCAAGGGGAGACAGACGUUUCCCAAUGCCAGAGCCCCAUGGGUCCCAUUCUGAAAUACAAGGGGUCACCCCUGCUACAUCUCAGUGCUUGUCUCUAAUGCCAAGUGUUGAAUAAUCCCCUCUGGGACAGAUCUUUGCCCUCAGCCUGGGCAGAAGGAUGGCAGAACUACAGUGCAUCUUGGCAC